rnacentral:rRNA from 1 species
GUCCUUUAGAGUAGAAUUUAAGGUCUAACCUGCCCAUUGAUUAUUUUAACGGCCGCAGUAUUUUGACUGUGCAAAGGUAGCAUAAUCAUUAGUUUUUUAAUUAAAAGCUUGUAUGAAUGGUUGGACGAGAUAUAAUCUGUCUUUAAGUUAUAAUUAGAAUUUAAUUUUUAAGUUAAAAAGCUUAAAUGUAUUUAAAAGACGAGAAGACCCUAUAGAUCUUUAUAAAUAUGAAAAUUUAAUUUUUAAGGAUUAUUAAUUUUUAUAUUUUUUUAUUUAUUUAAUUGGGGUAAUGAAAAGAUUCAAUAAAUUCUUUUAUUUUUGAACGUUGAUAAUUGGUUUAAAUGAUCCAUUAUUAUUGAUUAUAAGAUUAAGUUACCUUAGGGAUAACAGCGUAAUUUUUUUUGAGAGUUCUUAUUAAUAAAAAAGUUUGCGACCUCGAUGUUGGAUUAAAAUUAAUUUUGGGUGCAGAAGUUCAAAGUUUUAGUCUGUUCGACUAUUAAAAUUUUACAUGAUCUGAGUUCAAACCGGUGUAAGCCAGGUUGGUUUCUAUCUUUAAUUAAUUAAUAUAUUUUAGUACGAAAGGACCAAAUAUUUGAUAUAUAAUAUUUUAAAAUUUGAUUAAAAUU